GAUCGCCGGCCGACCCUCUGCGACGCCGACGCCGAAGCGCACGCCGCUGCGGUCGCGAUCCGUCAACUGUUGCUCCUGAUCCACCCGCCGCUCUCAGUUUCAUACUGUCAACAGAGCAGACUCUGGUAUGUGGCGAUGUUGCUGCGCAUGCUGCGACUGCUGUCAACCAAGUGUCCAGGAUGAGACCACGCUAUUAGGUUGCCAACGACCUCAAGAUGGCCACCUGUACACUGUUCGCCGCAUAUCAAGUUUUGGGAGAACAGCCUCUAAAGAAGAUCUAGAUGAUUCCUACACUGAUCUCAGAUCUGCCAUUCCUCAGCAGUUUUCUGACAACAUAGCUGGGCAGCUAAAAGUCUGCAGAGUGCAGCCUGAGCCCAAUGAUUGUGAAUAUGCUGCCAGUACUCCACCUCCAACUCCAAGUCCUGCAGGCAGGAGGAAAGGUCGCUGGCAUCGUGCACUGGAUACAUUGCGUCCUCGGUCUAAUAAGAAUCUUCCUCUUAAGGCUGUCAAACAGUCAGCAACUUUGCCCUCUAUUACAGUAUCCUCACCAGACAUUGUUAGGGACAUCAAAAUGCAGGAAUCAAAACAGAGUGUUCCAGUGGAAGAGCCUAACUUGAGACACGCAGGAACAAUGGUAGACAUAAGUUCUGUAUCAGUUUUAAACAACACUGCUAGCUGGUUAAAAUCACAAAGUAUGCAGGAUAUAACAAGUGAAACAGAGCUGCACAUAGAAGGAGAAAGUACACCAAAAACCAAGUCUGGAGAUCUUGCUCGAUCUUUUGGUAUUGAUACGAGCCUGUAUACUACUAGUAGAUCAAGUAGCCCUGGAGCUCACUAUCAGUGUGGUGACAUCAUUGACAGCAUCUAUACAUUACCAGAUAUUUCUGGAAAAGAAUGCACAGUUGCACAAGAUUUUCCAAGUGGAAUCUUAGACUUCAGUUGUUCCUAUUUUCCAAAGAGCAAAAAGUUACUUGUGCAUGUUAAUAAGAUAGAAGACCUGGAGGUGAAAAAUGAGAAUAAUACGUAUGAAAUAAAUUUGAGGUUGACAAUAUUACCAGCAGAGAAGCACAACAAGAACUCAAAAUCUUACAAAGUGACACAAGUUGUUGAAAUAGAAGAGGACUUUCAGUUUACUUUGAAGGACAUAUCAGAGAAGAUAUUGAGAAUAUCAGUUUAUAACAUAAAGAAUAUUGGAAAAUAUAGUGCAAUUGGCCACACUCUUUUAAAUCUUGAAGAUGUACCUUUUGGAAAGGCACAAAGAUAUUCACUGAAGCUCUAUAAACAGUCACAACAACACCGGAACCUUGGAAAUGUGAUGGUCUCCAUGUCAUACCAAAGCAAUGAUCAGCAGCUUAUAGUUCAUGUGAAGAAAGCAAAAAGCCUUUCAGGAUCACACAUUGUAAAAAAUAAUAAAGCGACAGUGAAAUGGAAUACUUUCGUUAAAAUCAGUUGCUUCUGUGGUGAUGAGAAGAUCAAAACAAAAAAGUCACCUGUAAUUCAGGAUGAACAAAAUCCUGUGUACGACUACAGUUGUGCUCUCAAGCUACCAUCAGAACAUUCGGAUGAAUGCUAUGUUGUUAUAUCUGUGAUGAUGAAAGGACUAUUUAAGAAAGAUAUACCGAUUGGGCGUCUGAUACUGGGACCCUCUUUUUACUCAGGACACGCUGCAACCAUAUGGGGAAGGGUUAUGCUUUACCAUGAGUCCAUAACACACUGGUUUCCCUUGUAUUUAUAGUGAUAAAAAUGCUUAUAACUUUGUAUUUUUUUCUUGGAUGAUGCUUAAAUGUUCAUGUGUACAUAGAAUCUGUGUCAUCAAAUGGUUGCUGAGUGAAUGUGACUUACAUUCCUGCUAUCACAAUCAAGCUGUUCCAUAUUUAAACAAAAAGAGAAUGCAACUUUUGUGACAUACAGGUUUCUGUCUGUGGUACAGAUGGUAAAUGAAGUGUGAGAAAGUUUUGUUAAGCA